rnacentral:rRNA from 1 species
AAGAGUUCAGAUUUGAAAUCGUGUUUCGGCACGAGUUGUAGAGUGUAGGCGGGAGUCUCUGUGGAGCGCGGUGUCCAAGUCCCUUGGAGCAGGGUGCCUGAGAGGGUGAGAGCCCCGUAGGGUGCUGCGCGAAGCUUUUGAGGCCCUGCUGACGAGUCGAGUUGUUUGGGAAUGCAGCUCCAAGCGGGUGGUAAAUUCCAUCUAAGACUAAAUAUUGGCGAGAGACCGAUAGCGAACAAGUACUGUGAAGGAAAGAUGAAAAGCACUUUGAAAAGAGAGUGAAACAGCACGUGAAAUUGUUGAAAGGGAAGGGUAUUGGGCUCGACAUGGGGGGUGCGCACCGCUGUCUCUUGUAGGCGGCGCUCUGGGCGCCCUCUGGGCCAGCAUCGGUUCCUGCUGCGGGAGAAGGGGCUCCGGAAAGUGGCUCUUCGGAGUGUUAUAGCCGGGGCCAGAUGCCGCGUGUGGGGACCGAGGACUGCGGCUUCUGUCUCGGAUGCUGGCAUAACGGCGCAAUACCGCCCGUCUUGAAACACGGACC